CAGAGAAGAUUUGCCCCGGGCCCCGCAAAUUCUCUCGGCGGCCCUGGACAUAUAUAACCUGUGCACACGGUUUUAUUUCGAUUCACGACAUCCCAAGAUCUUUCAUGAAGUUUUUUUCAGAAAGUCAUGAUCAUACGCGUACGAGGCGGGACGGGCAGCUGCCUUCCUUCCCAUACGUCCACGUGAAGUCAUAGUGAGUAUAAUUUGAAUAUCAAAAAUUGUUAAAUAUCUCAAGGACGAAGCAAGCUAUAAGAGAGUUUGGCAAAGUAUC